rnacentral:rRNA from 1 species
AGCGAACGCUGGCGGCAGGCUUAACACAUGCAAGUCGAACGGGCAUAGCAAUAUGUCAGUGGCAGACGGGUGAGUAACGCGUGGGAACGUACCUUUUGGUUCGGAACAAGACAGGGAAACUUGUGCUAAUACCGGAUAAGCCCUUACGGGGAAAGAUUUAUCGCCGAAAGAUCGGCCCGCGUCUGAUUAGCUAGUUGGUAGGGUAAUGGCCUACCAAGGCGACGAUCAGUAGCUGGUCUGAGAGGAUGAUCAGCCACAUUGGGACUGAGACACGGCCCAAACUCCUACGGGAGGCAGCAGUGGGGAAUAUUGGGCAAUGGGCGAAAGCCUGAUCCACCCAUGCCGCGUGAGUGAUGAAGGCCCUAGGGUUGUAAAGCUCUUUUGUGCGGGAAGAUAAUGACGGUACCGCAAGAAUAAGCCCCGGCUAACUUCGUG